rnacentral:rRNA from 1 species
GUGGGGAAUAUUGGACAAUGGGCGAAAGCCUGAUCCAGCCAUGCCGCGUGUGUGAAGAAGGUCUUCGGAUUGUAAAGCACUUUAAGUUGGGAGGAAGGGCAGUAAGUUAAUACCUUGCUGUUUUGACGUUACCGACAGAAUAAGCACCGGCUAACUUCGUGCCAGCAGCCGCGGUAAUACGAAGGGUGCAAGCGUUAAUCGGAAUUACUGGGCGUAAAGCGCGCGUAGGUGGUUCAGCAAGUUGGAGGUGAAAUCUCCGGGCUCAACCUGGGAACUGCCUCCAAAACUACUGAGCUAGAGUACGGUAGAGGGUAGUGGAAUUUCCUGUGUAGCGGUGAAAUGCGUAGAUAUAGGAAGGAACACCAGUGGCGAAGGCGACUACCUGGACUGAUACUGACACUGAGGUGCGAAAGCGUGGGGAGCAAACAGGAUUAGAUACCCGUGUAGUCC